rnacentral:rRNA from 1 species
GGGGGAUAUUCAAAACCAUCCCAACAUCGAGUAACAAUUGGAGGACAAAGUCUGGUGCCAGCACCCGCGGUAAUUCCAGCUCCAAGAGCGUAUAUUAACGCUGUUGCUGUUAAAGGGUUCGUAAUUGAAUUGUGGAGUAUGGCCACGGGAUUCAGUCCUUUUCCCACGGUCUAGGAACGUCCCGACCAUACUCCGAGAACGUCAGAAACUAAGAUCACGGAAGCGUUUUUUACAAACUGACACCGACUACACGAGCAAUGUUCGCUGGUGGACGUCCGUGUUUUUUACUGUGACUAAAGAAGUGCGACCAAGGCAGUCCAUCGACACGAAUUAGAAAGCAUGGGAUAACAAAGCAGCAGCCUAUGAGCUACCGUUUAGGCUUUUGUUGGUUUUAAAGGUUCGUGGGAGAUUACGGGCGUGUAGGACCGGCGUUGGGGGUUUUCCAAAAUCCCCGCGUCUCCUCCUGGCAUCGGAAACGGUGCUUGCGGGGCCUGCUUCGCUCAGGAAUGAAGGAGGGUUGCUCGGGGGAAAACGUACUUGGGCGUGAGAGGUGAAAUUCUUAGACCGCCCAAAGACGAACUACAGCGAAGGCAUUUUCCAAGGAUACCUUCCUCAAUCAAGAACCAAAGUGUGGGGAUCGAAGAUGAUUAGAGACCAUUGUAGUCCACACCACAAACGAUGACCCCCAUGAAUUGGGGAG